CAAUAGCGUAUAUUAAAGUUGUUGCGGUUAAAAAGCUCGUAGUUGGAUUUCUGUUGAGGACGGCCGGUCCGCACUAUGUGCGUGUAUCUGGUUCGGCCUUGGCAUCCUCUUGAGGAACGUAUCUGCGCUUGAUUGCGUGGAGCGGUAUUCAAGACUUUUACUUUGAGGAAAUUAGAGUGUUCACGGCAGGCAAGCGCCUUGAAUACGUUAGCAUGGAAUGAUAAUAUAGGAUCUUGGUUCUAUUUUGUUGGUUUCUAGAGCUAAGGUAAUGAUUAAUAGGGAUAAUUGGGGGCAUUUGUAUUAACGCGUCAGAGGUGGAAUUCUUGGAUUGCGUUACGACAAACUACUGCGAAAGCAUUUGCCAAGGAUGUUUNCAUUG
rnacentral:rRNA from 1 species